UUAAGUCAGAUGUGAAAGCCCGGGGCGUUAACCUCGGAAUUGCAUUUGAAACUGGCAGGCUAGAGUCUUGUAGAGGGGGUAGGAAGUUUCAGGUGUAGCGGUGAAAUGCGUAGAGAUCUGAAGGAAUACCAGUGGCGAAGGCGGCCCCCUCGGACAAAGACUGACGCUCAGAUGCGAAAGCGUGGGGAGCAAACAGGAUUAGAUACCCUGGUAG
rnacentral:rRNA from 1 species